GUGGUUGGGUGUAAGGUAAAGUGAGAGUGCAGGUAAGGUUUGCUAUGAUAUUGCACAUGUGUUCCUAGGAGUAACAACAUCAAAGUCUCACUUUCCAAAGCCUUCUCACAUCAUCCAUCAAGUAGGUGGACUGGUCAAGAAUUUUCACCACAUCUUCCCCUAACCCUCUCUAUGGUCAGCAAGACAUAAAAAGUGAAGGGUAAAUUUAAGGAUAUCAUUUAAGGUACCACAAUUAGGGAUUGAGUGCAGUUGUACAACACCUACGUUUCAGAGAACCAAAAUAACAUUAAUAGUGAAAAGAAGACAAGAAAUUGGUCAGAACUAUUGCAUUACCAACUUCAUUGGUUAUUUGUGUUUUCCACCAAAAUCUUGACAGACACAUCUAAAGUUGAAUAAACUUUAAAGAGACACUUCUGUACCAACAUUACUCACAAACUGCAGGCUAAUCCCUGUAUGCUGCCAGAGUGAACUGAUGGAUGACCAUGCUGACACAGCCAUAACUGGGAAGGCAGAACGAAGAAGGAACCGCCGACGUCUUGAAGUUGGAAGUAGAUAUCACACAACUGCGAUUGACAUCAAUGAUAUCAUGGCUGCCACAACCACCACAGGAAAUAAGUUAGCCCAGGAAAUUCAUGAUGAAUUUCUUACAUGUAAGAUCUGUCUGGAGGGCUUUAAAAACCCAAAAUGUUUAGACUGCUUGCAUACAUUUUGUGAACAGUGUAUUGAGAACCAUGUUAUGUCAGAAUGCACGUAUAAAAAAUAUAGUGACUAUCGUGAAUUCACAUGUCCAUUAUGUCGGAAACGAACCAAUCUUCCAAUCGGUGGUGUGAAAAAACUUCCAGAUAACUUUCUGGUCUCAAGUUUAGGAGAGGUGGUGGCACGACAAAGACCAUCCAAGUUUCCAUUCUGUGAUAUCUGUAAGAUGGUAAAUCGUAAACACAGAGAAGCAUCAUCAAAAUGUUUAGACUGUAAUAAGCUUCUCUGCAAACCAUGCGUGGAAUUGCAUAAAGAAACGAAAGUCACCAAGUCUCACAGUCUUUUCGAUGUGGAAAUUGAAAAAGAUAUUGAAUGCAAGGAACACAAGGAAGAAGUGGUUAGAUUCUACUGUGAGCCAUGCCAAGCUUGUAUUUGUGUCCUCUGUACAUUUAACGAACAUAAGGACCAUGAAAUUACAAAUUUCUCGGAUGCUGUCGUUAAAUAUAAAGAUAGUAUACAACGUCUCUUGGAAUCUUGCAAGGAUCGUAUUAAUGUAUAUGAUACUCAAAUUGAUACGCUUGGCAGAUGUGACACUUUGAUCAAAGAUGCUGAACAAAAAAUUCAUGAUGUAGCUAUCGCUUUUAUUGCUGAAAUUCGAUCUAAAGAGAAAAACUUGGUUGAAGAAUUGCAUUCAUUGUAUGGAUCUGAGGUGAUGGAAUAUAUUAACAGAAAAGUGGAAAUGCAAUCAAAUUUGGAAAGUCUGAGAAAUACAUGUAACUUGACAGAGUUAGUUCUGAAAGGGAAAGACAUUGAACUGCUCCUGCUUAAAAAUCAAGUGCAAGAAAAACUUUCAUGUCUGUCGGAAAUUGAGCUUAAGGAACUCCCUAAUACAGUGUGCAAGCAAAUUUUAUUUACUCCGGGAAGUAUAGAGCUGGGAACAAUUGAAGAUCCGGAUCGGCCGAAACCAAAAGUAUCGAUGCAACCUCGUCGGUCUUUAUCAGCGGCUGAUUACUGGAGAGAAAAGUCCCCCACUAGAGCGCCGCCAUCCUCUUCUACCUCGACGCAAACUGAAAAAGAAGACAAGAGCCAUAAGCUGAGGGAAGCGGCAAUACAGACGGAUGUUGAGGAAACUCCAGCCCCACCUGGAGCCGAUGAUAAGUCCAUCAGUACUGACAAAGUGGAGACUGAAGAGAAGGCUGUUAAUACUCGAUCCCGUAGUCUGCAGAGUUUAACCUAUCAGCUUCAACGCAACUCCAAGGAAGGAUCUCCGGAAAAUAAUGGUGAGCCACAAACACCCCCCGAGCCACAAUCUUCUCCUGUCAUCAAUCGCCGACACCAUCGACGCCGAAGAGAACGACCAAGAGCUAUGGAGAGCUCAGAGGUUGCUGAUUGAAAUGAUCCCAGUCCUCAUGUACCUUUUCUGGAAUAGGGGAUGGGACUAUAUGCGUUAAAUAGAGCUUACAGAGUGACCCCAUCAAAGACAUCUGACCAAUAUUCUUUCAUGGAAGGACUCCGACUAAUCAUCUUGUAAUUAGAACUUUUGGAAGCCUGUCUCUUUAUUCCACGUGUGAUAGCAGUCUGAAACCAGGAGGUGUCAAAUAGUUUUCAUCCUUGAAUAUUGUCUGAUUCUGAAAAUAUCUUAGUUUGGACCAGUUGAUUGAUAUUUAUAGCAACCACUUAAUGGAAUACCCUACACUUGAAGUAGAUAUAUAUAUAUCUAUAUAUAUAUACACACACACUCAUAUAUUAUAUGGCUUGGAUAGCUUGAUCCUAUGUGACUGACUUACUUAGAAGCAAUCUGUCAUCUCUUGACAUCGGGCUGAGCUUCUGCAGGUCACGCCAACAGAACAAUAUCCAACGUUUGCCAAUUAUCAGAGAAAAGACCCUUAUGAUCCAGAUAUGUGGUAGGCGAUAUGAACUCAACAAUUUCUUAGACCUCCAUCUAGUGCUAUUUAUUUCUCAACAUUUGGCCACUGAGGAAUUUCCACAGUAAACUGCUAUUAGAGAGAAAGGAACAGGUGAAAAUUUGUUUCACUUUUAUCCUCUUCUCUAGGCUGUUUGACAUUCCAAGACUGGCACCAAUCUUUACCAAUGCAAGCUCUUGGGAUUUCAUCUACUGAUAAAUAUUUCUGAAGUUAACUUUACAACAUUUGCUCCUUCCAUUUUUGGAGUUCUUGCUGAAAUGAUCAAUCUGUACAGAACUCUGAAAUUUCUUGAAAUUCUUGUCUCCUUCUUUUUCUCCCAUUUUUUUUUUAAUUCAAUGAGAUCCACUCUUAGAAGAUUGUCAUCAAAAAGAAACAAACUUUAAAAUUAUUUUCAAGCUGCCCAAUUUUGGAUAAGAAAUAAUUUCAUUUAGAAAAUUGCUUCUAAAAGCAUCCAGAAAUAAGUAAAAUGUAACUGUCUCAGAUCUCUGCUGACAAAAAUUAAACAAAAAACAUUUAUUCUGCCAAAAUAUAUCUUAGAAUGAAGAACUCUUUAACAUAUCUUCAAAUGAUUAAUAGACGGGAAAUAAUUUUUUUAAUCUGAAUUUCUUCUAUUGAAGAAUUCUAUCUUUCAACUUGCUUCAAACACCAUUUUCCUCUGUCUCUUCACAGACUUCUACUUAGCUGAUUCAGCUUUCUCUCAGCCAAUAUUAUUUCUCAAUGACCCCGUCUGUUUAAUUUCGAAAACCUUUUUUGUCUUUUUCUUUCUCACCUUUUAAUAAUGUUGUUUUGUGUGUGCCUUUUGUUCUCUUGAUUUCAUUUUAUUUUUCUCGGCCACAAUAAUAAUAAUAAUAAACUGAUUACAACAAUCAAAAAAAAAUGGGAAAAACAUUAGUUUUUUUUUUGAUCCUUGGUUUUUCUCUAAUUAAAAAACAAAUCAUGCUUUCAUCUUUUGCCCUCCUAUCAUUAAAAACAAGAAAAACCAAAAACGGAUCUGUUCUGUGUGAGAUUUUGGCACAUCUAUGUUUCCCCUCUUUCAUUAGUCAGGGGCCUUUAACAAAUUAUUAUAAAAGUUUACUUAAAUUACAUGUUCCCCCACCACACAUUUGUAAUAACCUCCAGCCUCCCUGUGCACAUUAGUCUUUCUGAUAGGAACAUCUAUGUUUCAUGUACAAAUAAACGAAACUGCUUUGAAAACCAAAGAAAGAAACCAUCAGGCUAACUCAUCUGGAUAACAUAUUUGGGCAUUAUUUGAAAGCUUUAUGAAAACUUUAAGACACAUCAACAUUUCUUUGACAAAUUUCAUGUUUCUCUAAAGAUGGUGUCUUGAAUGCUAAUUUACAACUGCCUAAGUGUAGGGGCAUGUUAUUGAUCUUUCAAUAUUUUUCGCUGGAAUGACUCAAUAAAAUUCUUGUUUUGUCUCAUAAUGUCCAAAUGUCAACAAACUUUUUUACUUGCUGAAUUCUGAACAUUCUUCAAAUCCAAUCCAAAAUGAUUUUACCUGUGUGUCCAGGUGACACAAUUUUUAAAUAAUUAUUUUCUCAGCAAUAUUCCUCUUAUUUAGAUUUAAAUUACAAUGUAAAUAUUAAUGUUUUUGUUUUUCUUAAUUUGUUUAUUUGUUCGAUUAACUUUGAUAUGAUCGAUCAACUAGAUUUUUAGAUAAGAUUGUUAAUAUAUUCAAUUCUAUGCCUAUUUACAAACUGGAUUUAACAUAUUUCCUUAUUUAAUGUGCAGAAAUUCAGAAAUUAAAGAAUCACUAUUUCUUAAUUCAGCUGGAUUCCAUGAACUUGGUGCUUGAAGUUCUUGAUGAAUAUAUUGCAGCAGCUAUUGGAAAUAUCUGAAUGGUUUCUGUACAUGUUCAAUAAAGAAAUAUUUAAGACCUGUGAUUAAUUACAAAGCCAGUUCUUUGAGCAGAUUCACAUUAUGGCUGACCCUUUCUGCUAAAGUAAAUAUUUAGUGACCUUAUAGCAGCAGUCAUAAAAUUGCUAUCUCAAACGUUGGCACAUCUGGCUAACCCUCUGUCUCAAAAUAUUAAAGAGAUAGUGAAACAUACUCCUUAAUAUGAAGAAGUUUUAGGGUUUUUUUUUAAUUUUCUUGUAAAUGGGUCUAGAAUAACCUGCUAAACACCACACAACAAUCUUACCCUGAAAGAAUCAAUGUUUCAGGAAGAAAAAAAUAAAUAAAUAAAACUACUAAUUGUCCUCUCCAAUGAAGCGGGGAGGUCAUUUGGUAUUGGCUUGCCUCUUAAUGUCACAGGCAAAUGAACAAAAUGCUGUUUUUCUAAGGCCCUUUCAAGCAAAGACAAACAGUAGUACCACUAUUUAUUACAGAAUGUAUUUUCAUUGGCCUGUCAUCAUCAAUGUUCUGUUUUGCCUUUUAUAUGUUUUUUUUAAUCAAAAAUUAAUGAAAUAUUUUAGUAUUUGAUUAUCUGAAUAAUUAAUUUAUUGUCAUUAUUGAAAUAUUUAUAAUAAAGAACUUUAAAGUUUAAUUAUCUGAUAAUGUGGAGAUGAAAUUUUGGCAAAAUAAAUUCAAAAUAAACCUUAAUA